rnacentral:rRNA from 1 species
CAGGACGAACGCUGGCGGCGUGCUUAACACAUGCAAGUCGAGCGGAGAAUAUAGCAAUAUAUUCUUAGCGGCGGACGGGCGAGUAACGCGUGGGCAAUCUGCCUCAUACAGGGGGAUAACACUGGGAAACUAGUGCUAAUACCGCAUAAAAUAGUGAAGUGGCAUCACUUUACUAUCAAAGGAGCAAUCCGGUGUGAGAUGAGCCCGCGUCCGAUUAGCUAGUUGGAGGGUAACGGCCCACCAAGGCGACGAUCGGUAGCCGAACUGAGAGGUUGAUCGGCCACAUUGGGACUGAGACACGGCCCAGACUCCUACGGGAGGCAGCAGUGGGGAAUAUUGCGCAAAUGGGGGAAACCCUGACGCAGCAACGCCGCGUGAAGGAUGAAGGUUUUCGGAUUGUAAACUUCUUUGAUUGGGGACGAUAAUGACGGUACCCAAAAAACAAGCCACGGCUAACUACGUGCCAGCAGCGGC